CACUCCAAUAGUUGUACCCCUCAGCCUUUGGUUUGGCGUGUUUGCAAGAAUCAAGCGGUGUUCCAAUUCUCCUUAAAUCAAGGGGUAACAGGAAGUGCUAAAGGGUGUACAGGUCGGGGAACAGACUUGAAAUGAAGGUGUAGGAGGAGCUACAACACCCACCGACAAGACGGCAGAGCAGAGACCCUUUAUGGGCUCCGUCAGGUUGAUGGUUACCAUGGUGAUCUCCACCUUGCGGACGCUACCAAAGAAGUCGGUGAUGAGGACACUCCCUGGGUCUCUCAGGAACAGGUCUUCAGAGAGCUGUUGUGAAGAAGCCUUCUACGCAGCCAUCUAUGCAGCGCUCCGACUGAGGAUUAAGAUUGGGCAUCGAGGGUGGAAAAUGUCCUCCAGGCUGCACUUUGGACACCCCUGCUACAGAUGUUUUAUAAAGACUUCAAGUUGCCUUUCCAGCUGACACUAUUUACCUCCUUUUCUGCCACAUUUGUUCAAAAGCGUCAGCCAGUUCCACAUUGCUGAUCUCCUCAGAGUCUUGGAACUUCAGGAAGCCAUUGCCGCCAUGGCCUUCAAACAAACAGAGACACAUAUACUGCACUUACAUACACCCCACACUGCUUUUUCCUUGCCUGCACUUUCCACAAUCCUUACAUGGAGCAUGAACACAUCUUUAUCAUUUGUGCGUUCUAAAAGAUAUGAAAACGCAUAAAAACAGUCAGCUGCGUGUAAUGGGAUCCACCUAUGCUGCCUCCAAAGACCUCCAACAUUUUAUGGUUUUAUAUACAUGCUGUGACCAUGUAGUACCUGGUACAUAACAUGUAAUACCUGCAGUAAUUUUGCUGUAUUUUGGCUAUUCUAAGCACUACCUGACCUUGCAUAUACUCUGCACACUAAUUUUACAGACAUGAUUUUUCA